UAUGGGGAUCUGACAGACGAG
rnacentral:miRNA from 1 species